rnacentral:tRNA from 1 species
GGAAAGAUGCCAGAGCGGUCGAAUGGGCAACCCUGGAAAGGUUGUAUAUCCGAAAGGGUAUCGAGGGUUCGAAUCCCUCUCUUUCCGCCA